UUCGAUUCUGGCUCAGGAUGAACGCUGGCGGCGUGCUAACACAUGCAAGUCGAACGGGCUAUUGUGAGGCUCGGCCAAGACUUUAAGCUAGUGGCGGACGGGUGAGUAACGCGUGGAGAACCUGCCCAUGCAGGGGGAUAACAGUGAGAAUCACUGCUAAUACCGCAUAAGCGCACGAGGCCGCAUGGCCCUGUGUGAAAAACUCCGGUGGCAUGGGAUGGCUCCGCGUUGGAUUAGCCAGUUGCGGGUAACGGCCACCAAAGCAUCGAUCCAUAGCCGGCCUGAGAGGGUGAACGGCCACAUUGGGACUGAGACACGGCCCAGACUCCUACGGGAGGCAGCAGUGGGGAAUAUUGCACAAUGGGGGAAACCCUGAUGCAAGCGACGCCGCGUGAAGGAAGAAGUAUCUCGGUAUGUAAACUUCUAUCGACAGGGAAGAUGAUGACGGUACCUGAAUAAGAAGCCCCGGCUAACUACGUGCCAGCAGCUGC
rnacentral:rRNA from 1 species